rnacentral:lncRNA from 1 species
CACUCUGGAAACCAAGGAAACUCCCCAGGGCUUUAAGGAAGUCACAACCUUAGGAAGAGAAAGAUAACAAGAAAAUUUGAUGUGAAAAGUGCCUUAAUAAAGUUCUGUUCAGAGCACUAUGAGAAAGUAGAGGCUGUGCGUCUAUCUGGGAUUGAAGAGGUGAGAAACAUGUUCCCAAGGGCAUGAUUCCCAUGGGCUGAAUUCUAAGAGUGAAUUGAUGUUGGCCCAAUGAAGUCUUAGUCUUAAGACAUCUUGAGCAGGAAGAAAAUAAAAUUAAAAAUGCAAAUAGUGGGCAUGUGAAUGGCAGGAAAACAGCAAGGGCAAUGGAAGCCAAACCACAUAAUGCUAAGGAGUGUGAAUUUUAUUCUAUAAAAUAAUCUAGGUCUUUGUGAAGAAAUCUCAACAGGUAAACGAUGUGAUUAGAAUUGCUAUUAGUAUUAUUACUUACACUUCCAAUGACAUGGACAUGAACUGAAAGGGAUAAGCUGGGUUGGAGGCAAGAGACCAAAGUUGGGAUGUCUUCAUCCCAUUGUGAAAUGGUAAAAGACUUAAUUAUGGAAGGUGCUUUAGAGAUGGAAAGAAGUGUGGUCUUGGUGAUUACGUGGAAUUGGAAAGAAAGGAGUUGGGCAUGUCAAGAGUGUCUAUUGAAUUUCUAACUUGGAUGACCAUGUGAAUGACCUACACUUCAACCAUACACUGUAGUUAGGUUUCCUGAAUGAUUCCACUAUCUAUGGUGACCUGAAAUAUCAGGAGAGCCUUACUUAGGAUACACAUGAGUCUCAUUUGGGGCUUACAGAGGUUAUUAUCAAAGUGUAUGUGUCCACCAGGCAAUUGAAUAUGUUGGUCUAUAACUCAGAAGACAGAUUAUAUAGGAAGACAUCCUAACUCUAGAGGUCCUGAGAUGGGCUUCAGGAGCCUCUCAGCUUUUUAAAAUUCUUACAAGAUUGUUUAUUCUCAUAGCUACAUUAAUAUGGGAAAAUUCAUCAUAUAAAAUAGAUUUCCAAUGGGGUCAAUAAUCAAAGAACUACCUAUAUAGACAGUAAAGGAGACUCAAAUGUGACAGUCUAAGCAUUAUCAAUGUUUAUGAUAUUGGAGUUGGCCUAAAAUGUGAGGACAUCCAUAAUUUUUCUCCAUUUCUAUUUCUAAACCUGUGCUGUUUUACCAAAUCCCUCUUCUCUGGGGAAAUAGUUUUACUGCUUUCCAAGGAACCCAUGUUCUUUCCUUCCUCCAAAUAUUACCUUCUUGACCACCUGUUAAUUUCUUACUGCAUGUCCUAAUCUCACUCUACUUAAAGAUACAAUUUGUGAAGUUUAUGGUUAUUUUCCUUUCAUCAACCCGAAGAACCCCCUCCCUCCUCUAAAUUUCAGCCAGCCUCUUGUCCAUAGGUUUCAUUUUGCCCUUACAACAUACCUAGCACUUAAUAAUGUUUCAAAAUAAAUACAUAAAUUUUACCUUGAGAAAGCUCUUGAUCUGAUUUUGUGUGGUUCCUUAAUGAUCUGUGUAAAUGUAUGUAUAUAUGUGUACAUUUGUGUAUAUAUUCAAAAUAUUUGCUAUAUUCUACCUACCACCUAGACUAAAAAAAUCAUUGAGGGCAAUGUCUAUAUUACAUUUCUUUUUUUUUCAUUUUAUAUAAAAAUUAACAUUAUUUUUUUUUACUUUUCUUUUAUUAUUAUUAUUAUUUAAUAGUUAUUUCCCCACUACAAUUUUUUUUCUACUAUCCAGUAUGGUGACCGAGUUACACAUACAUAUACACAUUCUAUUUUUGCACAUUAUCAUGCUCCAUCAUAAGUGACUAGACAUAGUUCCCAGUGCUGCACAGCGAUCUCAUUGCUAAUCCAUUCCAAAGGCAAUCAUUUGUAUCUAUUAACCCCAAGCUCCCCAACCACCCAACUCUCUCCUCUUCCCCCUUGGCAACCAUAAGUCUAUCCUCCAAGUCCAUGAUCUUCUUUUCUGUGGAAAGGUUCAUUUGUGCCUUAUAUUAGAUUCCAGAUAUAAGUGAUAUCACAUGGUAUUUGUCUUUCUCUUUCUGACUUAUUUCACUCAGGAUGAGAGUCUCUAGUUCCAUCCAUGUUGCUGCAAAUGGCAUUAUUUCAUUCUUUUUUAUGGCUAAGUAGUAUUCCAUUGUGUGUGUGUGUGUGUGUGUGUGUGUGUGUGUGUGUGUGUGUGUGUAUACACCACACCUUCCUAAUGCAAUCAUCUGUUGAUGGACAUUUGGGUUGUUUCCAUGUCUUGGCUAUUGUGAAUAGAGCUGCAAUGAACAUGCAGGUGCAUAUAUCUUUUUUAAGGAAAGUUUUGUGCAGAUAUAUGCCCAAGAGUGGGAUUACUGGGUCAUAUGGUAGUUCUGUGUAUAGAUUUCUAAGGUAUCUCUAUACUGAUCUCAUAUAUUACCUUUAAGUAUAAUUUGGAACACAUAGUAAAUAUUUACAAGGUAAGAGAUCAUAAGAAUAAAGAAAAGGAUGAAGGGAAAUAGGGAGCACACCAAAUUCAGUAGAAAGUGUUGCAAGCCGAGAUUUGGAAAAGGAAGUACCAAUUUUGUCUCAUCCAUUUUUAAAAUAUUUGACCUCUAAAAUGAAUAAAAAUUUGUCUCCCUUAUUUAUAACAUGAAAAUGUUGGGAAAAUUAAAUUAUAUAAAUCCUUUUAAUAAUAUACAAAUAUAUUUUAUAAAGUGUACUUAAGAUAAACAUAUUGUAUGUGGAACAAAGAAGAAUUCCUAUUAAUAAAUAUAUAUUAAUUAAUCAUAGGAAAUUUUAAUGAUAGUUCAUAAUAUUUUUAUUUUGUUUCCUAAGUGUAGUUUUAAAUGAUUAUAUUAUUUUUUAAUAAUGAAAUUGUUGAAUGAUUUUUUCAAUUGAUUCCAAUUCCAAAUGAAACAAAUGUGAACAGAGUAAAACAUUUAGCAAAAUCUAAACAACUAAGCUACUAAAUUUGUGGAAGCAGUUAAUAAUUCUUGCCAGGAUGAGUUAAAAAUCAUCAUCCCUUAAUUCUGGUGGUAAUAAACCAUUUUUAGAAGAAGUUAAAUGUAAGUGUAUAACAAUUUACAUAGAAAGACUAUUUCUAGAAAUAGAUCAAAAAUACAUUCAUGAUAAAGCAACAUAAUUUUUUGAAAGAAAUAAACUAAAUUUAGACUGUGCCAAGUAUUAUUCUAGAAUAAGAAUUUUUUUUUUUUUUUUUUUUUGUCUUUUCUAGGGCCGCACACAUGGCAUAUGGAGGUUCCCAGGCUAGGGGGCGUAAUCAGUGCUGUAGCUGCCAGCCUAUGCCAGAGCCGCAAGAAUGCCAGAUCUGAGCCACGUCAGUGAACUACACCACAGCUGAAGGCAACGCCAGAGCCUUAACCCACUGAGCAAGGCCAGGGAUCGAACCCACAACGUCAUGGUUCCUGGUUGGAUUUGUUAACCACUAAGCCAUGACAGGAACUCCAAGAAUAUUUACUUUUAAAAAAGAUUUUUAAUUUAUAUUUUAUAUAACAGUUUUUUGUAUUAGAAUAUGUAUUAAAUACUCAUAAACCAGGACAUGACUUUACAUAUAUGUCUGCACAUCUGUGAUCAGUGCUCUGUUCUUCAGUUAAUCAAUACUCAGAGCCUUUGCAAUAAGUGCAUCAAAGGGAUUGAUCAAAAUAUUUAUUUUCCAUAUUUUUUCUGUAUCUUUUAUUCAAAAUUUGAGUCCAUGGAGCCUUGCUUCUUGAUAACUUUUCCAGAAACAAAGUAAUUUUUUUUUCACACAUAUGUGAAAUAAGUCACUAAAUUUGGGAUGGUUAAAAAAAGGUGUCAGGAAGGAAGAGGGUAAGAACAAUGUGAAGAUUAGAGCAGGAAGAGGUGUUUUUUGAAUGAUCUCUUCGGAGUGAUUACAGAAGCAGAUUCUAAUUAAGUCCCAUUCUCAGAGUUGUAGAUUAGUAGAGAAGGGGCCUGAGGGCCUGUUUGUUGUGAGAGAGAGACAGACAGUGAGGAAUGUUCCCACCAUGCCCUGGAGCCAUGAACCUGAAACUACACACAUCCCCUGUCCUUGCCUUCAUGGCCAUGACAAGACUGCAGAUUCCAACACAUAUACAUUUUGAGGGGACUUCUCAAGGAAAGAAAAAAAAAAAUGAAUUACAAAUACAAAAUUAGUUAUGAUUAGAAAUAUUCAUUUAGAAUAAGAAAAUACAUUAGAGGUUUUUGAGACUUGGAAAUUCAAGUCAAUUUUUCUGUGGUCACCUUAGGAGUUUGCUGAAAUGCUUACAGACAAUGGUUCCAAAGGCAAGGUGGCUUUUCCUCACCUGAUUAAGUCUCAACCCAGCACCUCCCAGUGCUCACAGGGACCCACUCAUAGGACCCAAGGAGCUUAAGCUUUGUGGUCUUGGCAAGAACUCUGCCUCUGGCACAAAGAAUCCAUAAGAAGCCAUUGGCUCCACAUUCCAUUCGCCCCAUGUAAGAGACUCAGACAAUGCUCUGCGAAAAAGGCAUCUGUACUUUGAAACACCGGUUUCCCAGCAAGGAAAAAACAUUGUUAUGAAAUGGACAGUGAGCUUGUAAUUGUUCCUACAGCUUGACUGCCUUACUUUGUACCUGUCACAAUCCCUGUGAAGACAAGUUUCAGGCCUGUGUGCACAAUAUGGUAGGUAUGUCCCCACCAGCCCACAACUUGGAGCUCAGGCUGCCAACAUUACAGAUGAAAUUACUCCAAACCCAGCAGCCUGCACUGUUUAGUAAUCACAGGGCUGUUAUAGGCCUCAUCAUGGAGUUUCAGAUGUGAGGAUAUAAAUUGAUUGGUCUGAACCUAUGCCAACUGUUGAUGAGAGUUAAGAAGUCACAACACCUCUCUGUCUGUUCUGACACUCUGACAGGUCAAUAACAUUGAAUUUGCACUUCAGAAGUAGAGCAUUAUUUAAAAAAAAAAAUAAUCCAGUUGCUUUGGUAGCUGACAGACAAGAGUGUCAAAGAAUGUGAUAAGGGUGUGAACUGUCUAUUGCAGCCUCCUAAACAGGAAGAAUGGAGCAUCUCAGAGUGGAAAGGUUCAGAAAGCUCACCUUGCAUUUAAGUGGAAGGACAAGACAAAAGAAGGCCAGAAAGAUAGUAGUAAUGGGAUGCAGAAUAUCAGAAUCCAAGUAGUCUAGCGGAAAUAGGGUUUUCGGAUAUAACAGAGGACAUUCAUUUACCUUCCAAAUUCGAUAUACAUUUAUAACUUUUUUAGUGUAAGUGUAUCCCAAAUGUUGCAUGGGAUAUAUUUAUACUAAAAAAAAAAAAAAAAAAAAAAAAAAAA